GGAUUUUUAUAUCACAAUUUUAUUUUAGAUUUCCUUUUAAAUCUUUUCCCUUUUCUUAACUUUUUUUUUUUUUGAGAAGAGUAGCCCUGAGCUAACAUCUGCCACCAAUCCUUUCUUUUUUCUGAGGAAGAUGGGCCCUGAGCUAAGAUCCGUGCCCACCUUCCUCUACUUUAUAUGUGGGUUGCCUGCUACAGCAUGGCUUUACAGGCAGUGCGUAUGUCCUCACCCAGGAUCUGAACCGGCGAACCCUAGCCUGACAAAGCAGACCAUGCAAACUUAACUGCUGCACCACUGGGCCGGCCUCUCCCUUUUUUUUAACUCUUGACGUGUUGUUCCUUUAUUUUCAAGCUUUCUUUCUCAAUUAAUUUAGAAGAUUUUCUUAUAAACAGCUGAUGAAUUUUUUAAAACCCACUUUUAUUUUUCAUUUACUUUUAAAGUAUUUUUGUUUCCUCUUUCCUUAACUUCUGCUCACUUACUCAUGAUACUCUUCCCCCCUGACCCCCCCCACCUUCUUAAUCUGCAAGUUCUAUUUAGAUUAUCCAUUUCACAAUAACCCUUAGUUGAAUGAGUAAAUAAAUGGAUGAAUCAAUAAAAUAGGUAUGAACCUGAAAGUUUUGCCAGGAAUGUACAUGGUUUUUAAACAUUUAUGCAAGAGAGGAAAAUGCCGAAUUAGAGAUUCUGAUCCUGGAUGAGGAAUGUAAAAACUAUCCAGCUAUAUUUUAAUUUUAUGUCUAGAUAUGUCGGUUUCCUCUUUUAGCCUGUAGUUGUCCUUGAUGCUCUCCUUCAGCAUGCCAUGGUACAUGAGGAAAGCUUCUUAAGGAAUUGCUCUAUUCUUUAGUGCAGGAACUGUGUUUUAUUUCCACUACUUCACGUAAGGGCUGGCACAUAGCAGCCCAAUAAAAUAUUUGUCCAAUAUUUUGAUCCAAUAAAAUAUUUGUGAAUUAAAGAAUCUAAGUGUUAAAAGAAACUUUAAAGAUCAUCCAUUUCAACCUCUCUGUAAAUGCCUAAAUCUCUUCUACAUCUG
rnacentral:lncRNA from 1 species